GCUGUGAUGCGGGCGGUUCGCCGCCCGUGACUCUGCGAGAAGUCCAUUGAACCUUAUCAUUUAGAGGAAGGAGAAGUCGUAACAAGGUUUCCGUAGGUGAACCUGCGGAAGGAUCAUUGUCGAGACCGAAACCAUAUCGAACGAUUCGGAGAACCCGUGAACGAGCGGCGGCACAUGUCGUCGCGUAACAGCCGCCCCGGUCGCCGACCUCGCAUGCAGCGGGGCCACGAUGGGGGGCGGAUGAAACUCAAACCGGCGCAGCUACGCGCCAAGGGACACUAUGAAGAGACGAGCCCUGCACAGGGCUCGGUGGCGUGGAGUGUUAAUGCACACCACACGAAUCGAAACGACUCUCGGCAAUGGAUAUCUCGGCUCUCGCAUCGAUGAAGAGCGCAGCGAAAUGCGAUACGUGGUGCGAAUUGCAGAAUCCCGCGAACCAUCGAGAAUUUGAACGCAAGUUGCGCCCGAGGCCAGCCGGCCAAGGGCACGUCCGCCUGGGCGUCAAGCGUUGCGUCGCUCCGUGCCGAACUCCAUCCCCCACCCGACGGGCGCGUGGAUGCAGGAGGCCUCGGAUGCGCAUAGUGGCUCGUCGUGCCCGUGGGCGCGGCGGGUUGAAGAACGGGCGAUCGUCUCGUCGGCAACGAGCAGCAGGAGGUGGAUGAAAGUUGUGUCUGUGUUGCAUCGUGCGGCGAGAAAGAUUAUAAUACCCCAUGGAUGAUCCCGGCCCAAGCGUCGAUCGAACGGUGGCGGCUUGGAAUGCGACCCCAGGAUGGGCGAGGCCACCCGCUGAGUUUAAGCAUAUCAAUAAGCGGAGGAGAAGAAACUUACAAG
rnacentral:rRNA from 1 species